rnacentral:rRNA from 1 species
UACGGAAGGCAGCAGUGGGGAAUUUUGGACAAUGGGCGCAAGCCUGAUCCAGCAAUGCCGCGUGAGUGAAGAAGGCCUUCGGGUUGUAAAGCUCUUUUGUCAGGGAAGAAACGGGUGAGGCUAAUAUCCUUGCCUAAUGACGGUACCUGAAGAAUAAGCACCGGCUAACUACGUGCCAGCAGCCGCGGUAAUACGUAGGGUGCAAGCGUUAAUCGGAAUUACUGGGCGUAAAGCGUGCGCAGGCGGUUGUGCAAGACAGAUGUGAAAAUCCCCGGGCUUAACCUGGGAAUUGCAUUUUGUGACUGCACGGCUAGAGUGUGUCAGAGGGGGUAGAAUUCCACGUGUAGCAGUGAAAUGCGUAGAUAUGUGGAGGAAUACCGAUGGGCGAAAGGGCAGCCCCUGGGGAUAACACUGACGCUCAUGCACGAAAGCGUGGGGAGCAAACAAGGAUUAGAUACC